ACUCUAGUAUUGACAUCAAUUCACAUGUAUUGAGGUGGAUUGUGGUGUAACUUAAACUAAUUUACACCCCAAUCCACCUCAACACAUGUGGAUUGAGGUCAAUACUAGA
rfam:Zea mays cultivar B73 chromosome 4, whole genome shotgun sequence.